UUGUUUUGGCAGCAAAUUUGCUAAGAGUGAAGACAGAGAUUAGCAUGGGUCCCCAAGGAUGACCCAGAUCUGUGAAAUAGUCCAUAUUUUU
rnacentral:snRNA from 1 species